GAGGGUACAGCUCAGUGGUAGAGCACCUGCUUUAGCAUGCGUGAGGUCCUGGGUUCAAUCCCCAGUACUACCG
rnacentral:tRNA from 1 species